rnacentral:lncRNA from 1 species
AUGGAGGAUUCAGAAGAAGACAUUAACGAACAGUUUGCAAACAAAGAAAAAAUAUUAAAUGAGCUGCAAGAUAAAGCUCAAAGUGACUCCGCGGUUCCAAGGCGUUCAGAAAGAGCCAAGGUGCCAACAGAAAAAAUGCUAACUUAUCAGAGAGAAGAGAUAAGUAAAAAAGAAAAAAGACUAUUAACUCUUUAUGAACAAUGGAAAAUACGAGUGCGAGAAACAAGAGAAAGAUUAAAGUUGGACAUUUCAGAGAAAGAAAUGGCAGAUCUUGCAGAUGAUGUAGAGCAAAGAAAAGAUGAACUGCUAAAGUUGUACACUGAAAUGAGAAGUCACAUUGCACCUUCAUCAGACAUACGAAGAAAAACCGAUGCAUGUGAAGCAGUUACUCAUGACAUUGUGAAAGUCAUCCUGGAAAGAAUAAGUGGUGUAGAUGGAGACUUUGAUGCAGAAUAUGAAAGAAAACGUCUACGCAGACUAUUAGAACAUGAUUAUGCCCAAUCCAUCUAUGGUUCAACUGCAGCAUCGAAACGUAGCCAACUGUCUUCAGCCUCACAUCUUGCUUCAAAACGAGCAGAUGCAGCAGCAGAACUAGCAGCGAAAGAAGCGGAGUACAAGAUUGUACAAGAGGAACAAAGACAAAAGGAAAAGAUAAAGGCUCUAGAAGAGGAGCAUAAGAAACAAAUGGCAGUUCAAACAUCAGAGUUGGAACGCCUGAAAGCCGAAAGGGAGGUGGAAGCCGCUCGCGCCAGGUUGGACGUCUACAACAGAGAGUUAUCGCAACUUGAUGAUGCAUAUUCAGUAAAGACGGAAAGGGUGAACCCAGAGCAUACACCCAAACACACUGUACCAUCAUGCACCAUACCGGCGCCAACAGCCCCUCCUAGCGUCAGCCAGCUUGCGCAGGCGGUACAAGACAGCAUAAGAAUAAAUAGACUCCCCACGCCAGAACCAACAAUGUUUAGUGGUGAGCCAAUAAAAUUUAUUGAAUGGAAAUCCACUUUCAUGUCACUUAUUGAACAAACUGGCAUGGCAGCAGCAGAUAAACUGUACUAUCUAAAAAGGUAUGUAACUGGCUCAGCUCGCAAGUGCCUUGAAGGGACUUUCUUCAGAAAUGAUGAAGAAGCAUAUAACGACGCUUGGACAAAGUUAAACCAAAGGUAUGGCCAGCCAUUUGUGCUACAAAGGGCAUUUAGAGAGAAGUUAUCUGGUUGGCCUAAAAUACAGUCGAGAGAUGCUGAUGGGCUAAGGAACUUUGCUGAUUUUGUGAAUGCAUGCACACUUGCCAUGCCUCAUGUGAAAGGACUACAAAUACUCAAUGACUGUGAAGAAAAUCAGAAACUGUUGCAUAAACUGCCAGACUGGAUAAACACAAGAUGGAACAGGCAUGUAACAAAGAUACUCAUGGACGGUGGUGAAUUCCCCAGCUUCAGUGAAUUUGCCUCCUUUCUCUCACUUGAAGCAGAAGUAGCAUGCAACCCAGUCACUUCCAUACAUGCACUUCGCUCUACGGAAACGAAUGAUGACAAAAGAAACACAAGAGAAGUCAAAAGAAACAAGGCAAGUGUAUUCAACAUUAACACAACUGAACGAGAUGCAAAGACUAAAAUACACAACAAUUCUUCAUGCACACUGUGCCAAGAGUCGCAUCCACUUAUAAAGUGCCCAGACUUCCUGCAAAUGACUCUGGAAAUGAAAAGGAAACAUGUAAAGGAUAAUAAGCAUUGUUAUGGUUGUUUAAAACAAGGUCAUAGUGCUAAGGACUGCAGACGGCGCCUCACUUGUGAAACCUGCACUAAGAGACACCCGACCUGUCUUCACGAUGAGAACUACAGCAUUAGUCUGCAAAGAGAAAGGCAAGAUCAAGUGAGUAUAGACAACGCAACACAAGGGAACUCACCUGAAAGUGCAACAGCCAUGGCGUUAAAUGUCGCUAGAGCAGAACACACAGUCAGUACCUCCAUGAUAGUCCCAGUAUGGGUCUCAACGGCUGCUAAUCCACAAAGGGAAAAACUAGUCUAUGCGCUACUAGACACACAGAGUGACACAGUUUUUAUAGAUCAGGAUGUAACACAGAAACUGCAAGCAAAUGUGUGCCCUGUAAAACUCAAACUAACCACAAUGAUGGGUAAAAACGCAGUAGUAAGCAGCGGAAAGGUGUGUGAUCUUCUAGUAAGAGGUUACAAUUCAGCAACAGUGCUAAGGCUCCCAACUGCUUAUACAAAGGACUACAUACCUGCAAAUAGAGAACACAUACCAACAUGUGAAACAGCAAAACUGUGGAGUCAUUUGUCAUCCAUCGUAGAUGAGAUCCCACCGCUCCUCAGUUGUGAGGUGAGUCUCCUGAUUGGUUAUACUUGUCCCCAAGCUCUGGCGCCCAGACAAGUGAUCUUAGGCAAAGACAAUGAGCCAUAUGCCAUCCAAACUGAUUUAGGAUGGAGCAUAGUUGGCAACUCAGUGCCAUGCAAUGCAUUAGAGACAACAAGGAGUCUCUGUCACAGAAUAACUGUUAAAGAAAUGCCUCCAUGUACUCCUGCAGAUGCAAUACGUGCACUAGAAAAGGACUUUAAAGAAAACGAAAUAAACGAAAAGAUGGUGUCUCAAGACGACCUUAGGUUUCUUGAGAAACUUGAACAAGGCAUAACACAAACAGAGAAGGGACAUUAUGAAAUGCCAUUGCCAUUUAAAGAAAGGCCACAAAUGCCAGAUAACAGACAACUCACCGAGAGCAGACUCAAUAAGCUCAACAGUAAACUAAUGUGUGAUGAAAAAUACAAAAAGGACUGUGUCACAUACAUGAAUGACAUUAUACAAAGGGUUGACGUUGAAGAGACUAAUGAUAAUGGACCUGAAGGUGAGACACGAAACAAUGCUGCACCACGGCAAUGGUUCUAUGUACCGACGAGUGAAAAUCCCGCUGACAUAGCAUCAAGAGGCACAUCAGUAGGGGAACUGCUAUCAUCAAACUGGCUCACAGACCCUCAAUUCUUAUGGGAAAAGAAGUUAAAUCUUCCAACUAAAGAGUCUAUUGAACUUUUGGUGGGAGAUCCAGAGGUGAGAAAAGUGCAAACACUCAACAGCCAAACUACAGAACACAGAAGUCUCUGUGACCGUCUCACAAGAUUCUCAUCCUGGUCACACGCUGUCAGUGCCAUAGCACGUCUCAAACGGUUCCUACUCAGAGACAAAUCAAAGUCACUCAGCACUGUAACUGAAAGACAAAACGCUGAAAUGGUGAUUAUCAAAGACUUACAAGGACUAACAUUUUCAGAUGAGAUAAAGACAUUAAGCAAAGGAAAGGCACUACAUGAGAGCAACAAAAUGUACAACUUGGAUCCUUUCUUGGACGAAGACAAUGUGCUCAAGGUGGGAGGAAGGCUGCAACACUCAUCGCUUCCUAACACGUUCAAACAUCCAACUGUCAUUCCAAGAGACCAUCAUAUUACAAAACUCAUAAUCGCUCACUGUCACAAAAGAACAAACCAUCAAGGAAAGAGCUUCACAAUGAACGAAAUACGGUCCAGCGGUUAUUGGAUUCCCAAGUUAAGUCAAACAGUAUCAGACUACAUCCAUCAGUGUGUGACGUGUCGGAGACUAAGAAGAGCUGUGGAAGGACAAAAAAUGAAAGAUCUCCCCACAGAAAGAGUCGAACAAUCUCCGCCUUUCACAUACUGUGGUAUGGAUGUUUUCGGCCCGUUCCUAACCAAACAAGCAAGAAAAGAAAACAAAAGGUACGCUCUCCUUUUCACUUGUUUCUAUUUACGAGCAGUACACGUAGAAAUGUUAGAAGACCUGACUACGGACGGUUUCAUUAAUGGACUAAGGUGCUUUAUAGCUCUGAGAGGCUCUGUCAGACAAAUAAAAUGUGAUCGAGGUACUAACUUUGUAGGUGCCAAAAAUGAACUGUGCGCAGCACUGAAUGAAAUAAAAAACUGA